ACACUGUAAAUAGAGUGGUGAUCAAUAAGAAAUGUGUUUCAGUAACAGAUUACAGGUCAAGAAAUAUUUCUAGAUCCUUUCACUGCCUUCUGGGAGCAGAGAGCAAGAGACUGAAAGAGCUAUGCAUCAAGUAUUAAGACCUAAGAGGAUAUCACUGCCGUCAGAACCAAUAACAGAAGAUCUGAAAGAAGUUUCCAUUCCCCUAAACCUGUGGUCACCCAGUGUUCCAGCAGAGACUCACAUGACUGAGACUAACCCAAGUCGCGAGAUUCACGCACAACCAAACUCCCCUGCAAGUCACCAGGAUCCUUUAGAAGCUACAAAACCAGGUUGGAGGUCAUGAAGGAUGGGAGCCUAGCCUGCCACGGUAUCCAAUAAAGCUGGUUUUCAGUCUUUG
rnacentral:lncRNA from 1 species